GCAAACUUGGUCAUUUAGAGGAAGUAAAAGUCGUAACAAGGUUUCCGUAGGUGAACCUGCGGAAGGAUCAUUAAUGGAUAAUUUUGGUUUGAGUUGUUGCUGACUCUGUGAAGGGGUAAUGUGCACGCUCAGCACCAAUUUUUACUUAUCUUCCACCUGUGCACUUAUUGUAGACUUAUAAUUAGCUUUUUCUUAUUGUUGGAUCAUGCUUUUUAUAGUCUAUGAUGUUUUUCAAUAAACUCAAGUCUUUCAGCAUGUUAAUUGAAUUAGGCUUUUAUAAAGCUUAUAAAACUUAUAAUAUAACUUUCAACAACGGAUCUCUUGGCUCUCGCAUCGAUGAAGAACGCAGC
rnacentral:misc_RNA from 1 species